rnacentral:misc_RNA from 1 species
GAUGAAGAACGUAGCGAAAUGCGAUACGUAAUGUGAAUUGCAGAAUUCAGUGAAUCAUCGAAUCUUUGAACGCAUAUUGCGCUCUCUGGUAUUCCGGAGAGCAUGCUUGUUUGAGUAUCAGUAAACACCUCAACUUCCAUAUCUUUUUUGAAAUGGGAGUUGGACUUGAGUGAUCCCAACGCUUUUCCUCACCGAAAAGUGGCGGGUUACUUGAAAUGCAGGUGCAGCUGGACUUUUCUCUGAGCUAUACGCAUAUCUAUUUAGUCUGCCUAAAAACAGAUUAUUACCUUUGCUGCAGCUAACAUAAAGGAGAUUAGUUCUUGUGCUGACUGAUGCAGGAUUCACAAAGACAGGCUUCGGCCGACUUUGUAAACUCGAUCUCAAAUCAAGUAAGACUACCCGCUGAACUUAAGCAUAUCAAUAAGCGGAGGA